rnacentral:rRNA from 1 species
AUGCCCUUCACUCUGCCCGAUACUGUGGGAUAACCUGGGGAAACCCAGGCUAAUCCCCCAUACGUCCUACUGGAGAAAGGGGGCUUUGCCUCCCGCUAUUGGAUGAGCCUAUGUCGGAUGACCUAGCUGGUGAGGUAAUGGCUCACCGAUGUAACGAUCCAUAGCUGGUCUGAGAGGAUGAUCACCCACCUCACUCCUGAGACACGGCCCGAACUCCUACCGUAGGCAACGGUGGGGAAUAUUGUACAAUGGUGGCAACCCUGAUCCAACCGUGCCACGAGUGUGAAGAAGGUCCUCCGGUUGUGAAGCACUUUCAACGAGGAAGAACGCCUGCGGGUUAAUACCCGCCAGGAAACACAUCACUCCCAAAAGAAGCACCGGCUAACUCCGUGCCUGCAGCCGCGGUAAUACGGAGGGUGAUUGCGUUAAUCGGAAUUACUGGGCGUAAAGCGCGCGUAGGUGGCUUGAUAAGCCGGUUGUGAAAGCCCCGGGCUCAACCUGGGAACGGCAUCCGGAACUGUCGGCUAGAGUGCAGGAGAGGAAGGUAGAAUUCCCGGUGUAGCGGUGAAAUGCGUAGAGAUCGGGAGGAAU